CCCUUGUCUCUAGUUGCUACGAAAGGGCACUCUAGAGAGACUGCCGGUGACAAACCGGAGGAAGGUGGGGAUGACGUCAAGUCCUCAUGGCCCUUAUGGGUAGGGCUUCACACGUCAUACAAUGGUGCGUACAGAGGGUUGCCAACCCGCGAGGGGGAGCUAAUCCCAGAAAACCCAUCGUAGUCCGGAUCGUACUCUGCAACUCGACUACGUGAAGCUGGAAUCGCUAGUAAUCGCGGAUCAGCAUGCCGCGGUGAAUACGUUCCCGGGUCUU
rnacentral:rRNA from 1 species